rnacentral:tRNA from 1 species
GCCGUGGCCUACUGGUUAGCGCUUCAGACUUGUAACCGGAGGGUUGCCGGUUCAAUCCCGACCAGUAGGCA